UAGGGAAUCUUCCACAAUGGACGCAAGUCUGAUGGAGCAACGCCGCGUGAGUGAAGAAGGUCUUCGGAUCGUAAAACUCUGUUGUUAAAGAAGAACACGUAUGAGAGUAACUGUUCAUGCGUUGACGGUAUUUAACCAGAAAGUCACGGCUAACUACGUGCCAG
rnacentral:rRNA from 1 species